GACGAACCGUGCGAACGUUGUUCGGAUUCACUGGGCUUAAAGGGCGCGUAGGCGGACAAUCAAGUCAGGGGUGAAAGCCUCCAGCUCAACUGGAGAAGUGCCUUUGAUACUGACUGUCUCGAGGGAGGUAGGGGCAUGUGGAACUUCCGGUGGAGCGGUGAAAUGCGUAGAUAUCGGAAGGAACGCCGGUGGCGAAAGCGACGUGCUGGACCUCUUCUGACGCUGGAGGCGCGAAAGCCUAGGGGAGCAAACGGG
rnacentral:rRNA from 1 species